UACAGGGGGUGCAAACGUUGCUCGGAAUCAUUGGGCGUAAAGCGCACGUAGGCGGUUCGUUAUGUCGGAUGUGAAAGCCCUUGGCUUAACCGAGGAAGUGCAUCCGAAACUGGCGAGCUAGAGUACUAAAGAGGAUCGCGGAAUUCCCGGUGUAGAGGUGAAAUUCGUAGAUAUCGGGUGGAACACCGGUGGCGAAGGCGGCUCUCUGGCCCUGAUCUGACGCUAAGGCGCGAAAGCGUGGGGAGCAAACAGG
rnacentral:rRNA from 1 species